rnacentral:rRNA from 1 species
UGGGGAAUAUUGCGCAAUGGGGGAAACCCUGACGCAGCGACGCCGCGUGAGCGAAGAAGGCCUUAGGGUCGUAAAGCUCUGUUUUAAGGGACGAAUGUCGCGGGUAAUAAUACGAUCUGCGAAUGACGGUACCUUAAGAGGAAGCCCCGGCUAACUACGUGCCAGCAGCCGCGGUAAGACGUAGGGGGCGAGCGUUGUCCGGAAUUACUGGGCGUAAAGAGCACGUAGGCGGGAUUUUAAGUCAGGUGUGAAAGACCGUGGCUCAACCACGGGGUUGCACUUGAAACUGGGAUUCUUGAGGGCAGGAGAGGAAAGUGGAAUUCCUGGUGUAGCGGUGAAAUGCGUAGAUAUUGGGAAGAACACCGGUGGCGAAGGCGACUUGCUGGGCAGCAACUGACGCUGAGGCGCGAAAGCCAGGGGAGCAAACGGG